rnacentral:ncRNA from 2 species
GAACCUCGUCGUGGUGAUUUGGCCGGCCGGCUUGCAGCCACGUUAAACAAUUCGCUAAAGGGCCGUUCCCGGACGCAU